CCGUCGUCUCAGUUCUGUAAGCUCUCAACUCCUGCUUAACCUCCCAAGUAAGGACCUUUAUCCCUUUUGGAGGGCUCUCCUGCCUUUUGCUCAAAUCGGUACCCUUCAAGGUUUCACCUUUCCUUCUCAAACCUGAGCUUUCAAUAAAAAAGUUUCUUACUUUAUGAGUUAUGAUUGCAUAUAUUGUUUACUUUAUAUACAUGUAAUUUAUGGUUUGUAAUGUAAUUAAAAUGAUGAGUAAACUAUACCCAUUUGGUAAAUUGGAGUUUGAGCCAUUGAGCUUGGGGAAUGAGGUUGUUGAAUUUGACGUGAUGGGUUUGGGUGAUGACAUUGACAUUUUUGAUGAUUCUCUUGCUGUUGUUGGUUCCAAUUCCAUUGCCAUACCUUCCAUUAUUGAUGGAGAGACUAAUCUCGAGCCGUAUGAGGGGAUGGAGUUUGAGUCUGAAGAGGCUGCCAAGGCCUUUUACAACUCGUAUGCUCGCCGCAUUGGCUUCAGCACUCGGGUCAGCAUGUCCCGCCGCUCCAGGCGUGAUGGUGCCAUCAUCCAGAGGUCUUUUGUUUGUGCCAAGGAGGGCUUUCGUAUGGAUAAGAGUGAAAACCGUGAUCCUGAGUGUGAGGGCAGGGUGAAGCGCCCUCGUGCUGAGACUAGAGUUGGUUGUAAGGCAAUGUUGGUGGUUAAGAUUCAAGACUCUGUGGGGUGGAUUGUGUCAUCGUUUGUUAGGGAACAUAAUCAUGAGCUGGUUCCACCGGAUCAGGUGCAUUGCCUCCGCUCUCAUCGUCACGUCUCUGGUGCUGCAAAGUCUUUGAUUGAUACCCUGCAGGGUGCUGGGAUUGGGCCUAGUGGAAUUAUGUCUGCCCUCAUCAAAGAGUAUGGUGAUAUUAGCAAAGUUGGCUUCACUGAACGCGACUGCAGGAAUUACAUGAGGAGUAGUCGCCAAAGGACCUUAGGAGGUGACACUCGGGUGCUCUUGGAUUACUUGAAGAACAGGCAAGCCAAGGACCCGGCGUUUUUCUUUUCUGUGCAGGGCGAUCUUGACCAGUGCAUGAGCAAUAUCUUCUGGGCUGAUCCUAAGGCAAGGAGUGAUUACGCUUACUUUGGUGACACUGUCACCUUUGACACAACUUACAGGUCAAACCGGUAUAGAUUGCCUUUUGCACCUUUCACCGGGGUUAACCAUCAUGGACAGCCUGUGUUGUUUGGGUGUGCCCUCUUGAUAAAUGAAUCUGAGGAAUCAUUUUCAUGGCUUUUUAAAACGUGGCUUAUGGCAAUGUCUGGCCGGCCUCCACUCUCAAUCACUACAGACCAUGAUAGGGUGAUUCGCUUGGCAAUUACCCAGGUGCUUCCUGAAACUCGGCACCGCUUCUGCAAGUGGCAUAUCCUUAAAGAGUGCCAAGAGAAACUGUCCCACGUACUUUCUGAGAAUUCCAACUUAGAAGCUGAGCUUCACAAAUGUGUCAACCUGACUGAAUCUAUUGAAGAGUUUGAGUCUUGUUGGUUGUCUCUAAUUCAAAAAUAUGAUCUCAGAGAACAUGAAUGGCUUCAAGGGAUUUAUGCUGAUCGGAGGCAGUGGGUACCUAUAUAUUUGAGGGAUAACUUCUUUGCAGAAAUGUCUAUAACUCAACGUAGCGAUACCAUGAACUCCUAUUUUGAUGGAUAUGUCAAUGCAUCAACAACUCUACAGCUGUUUGUUAAGCAGUAUGAGAAAGCUCUUGAAAGUCGGUAUGAGAAAGAAGUGAAGGCAGAUUGUGAUACUAUAAACACUGCACCAGUUCUGAAGACCCCUUCACCAAUGGAGAAACAGGCAGGUGAGCUUUACACAAGGAGAUUGUUCAUGAAAUUUCAAGAAGAGCUGGUUGAGACAUUAAGUUUCUUGGCAAGCAAAGUUGAGGAUGAGGGGACAGGAUCCAUAUAUCAAGUUGCUAAAUUCGGAGAAAGUCACAAAACAUAUUUUGUCAGAUAUGAUAUUCAUGAGAUGAAAGCAAUUUGUAGUUGUCAGAUGUUGGAGUUCUCUGGUCUUCUCUGUCGACACAUCUUGACAGUUUUUCGGGUGACAAAUGUUCUUACUCUGCCAUCUCAUUAUAUUCUGAAGCGGUGGACAAGGAACGCCAAGAGUGAUGUCAUGUUGGACGAACAUGCAAGCAAUUUGUUGAAUAGGUCGCAAGAAUCUGUCACAGUAUUAUAUGAUAAUCUUCGUCAUGAGGCACUAAAGUAUGUUGAUGAAGGUGUUCAAACUGUUGAAAUUUAUAAGGUGGCUAUUGCUGCCCUUCAAGAGGCUGCAUAUAAAGUUGCUCUUGGAAAAAAGAAUGGCGCUAGGUUGGUUGGUGUUAACAAAAUUGGCAGAGAUGAUGAUUUGCACUGGGAUUGUCAAGCAAACACCUUUGGUGACCAUAAAUGGGGCUUGGAAACUCUGUCUCCGUGCUUUCUUGGAUUUCUUCUUUGUUUUUGGAUUCCAUCAUAUGAUUACAAUUAUAAGUGCUUAUGGGGAUAGUAGUUGGGACUUGAGAAGGGAUGAGAAGAGUACGGGAUAAUCAAUUUUCAAUUGGAAAGUUUGGUCCAUGUUGUUUUCUCCAUGUGGGAGUGAGGAGUUGAGCAUGCUGUUCUUGUGAGACAGAUGGGCCUUAGAAAUAGGGGAUGUGAAGGAUGACCAGGACAAGAAAAUCCAAAAAUUAUCACGUCAACUGGAACGUGCACAACGAAAAUGUGAAGUGUAUCGAUCACAUUUGUUUUCGGUUUUGAAAGACAUUGAGGAGCAGAAGUUACAACUCUCUGUCAAAGUUCAA